rnacentral:rRNA from 1 species
UACGAAGGGGGGCUAGCGUUGUUCGGAAUUACUGGGCGUAAAGCGUAUGCAGGCGGAUCGUUAAGUCGGGGGUGAAAUCCCGAGGCUCAACCUCGGAACUGCCUUCGAUACUGGCGAUCUUGAGUCCGGGAGAGGUGAGUGGAACUCCGAGUGUAGAGGUGAAAUGCGUAGAUAUCUGGAGGAACACCGGUGGCGAAGGCGGCAUCCUGGACCGGCAUUGACGCUGAGGCGCGAAAGCCAGGGGAGCAAACAGG